rnacentral:rRNA from 1 species
UCCUACGGGAGGCAGCAGUAGGGAAUCUUCCGCAAUGGACGAAAGUCUGACGGAGCAACGCCGCGUGAGUGAUGAAGGCUUUCGGGUCGUAAAACUCUGUUGUUAGGGAAGAACAAGUUGGGUAGUAACUGACCCAACCUUGACGGUACCUAACCAGAAAGCCACGGCUAACUACGUGCCAGCAGCCGCGGUAAUACGUAGGUGGCAAGCGUUAUCCGGAAUUAUUGGGCGUAAAGCGCGCGCAGGUGGUUUCUUAAGUCUGAUGUGAAAGCCCACGGCUCAACCGUGGAGGGUCAUUGGAAACUGGGAGACUUGAGUGCAGAAGAGGAAAGUGGAAUUCCAUGUGUAGCGGUGAAAUGCGUAGAGAUAUGGAGGAACACCAGUGGCGAAGGCGACUUUCUGGUCUGUAACUGACACUGAGGCGCGAAAGCGUGGGGAGCAAACAGGAUUAGAUACCCUGGUAGUCCACGCCGUAAACGAUGAGUGCUAAGUGUUAGAGGGUUUCCGCCCUUUAGUGCUGGAGUUAACGCAUUAAGCACUCCGCCUGGGGAGUACGGUCGCAAGACUGAAACUCAAAUGAA